UGGGAUGAAGCGGGGGCGCGCAGCGCUGGUACAUCAGUCGCUGAGCUGCUGGGGACCGUAGAGCGUUUCCAUCCUGAGGCCGGCGCGCAGACCUCUGGUCCUGGAGGCUCCCGGUUCCCGGGCACUGCCUCCAGCCGUCGUCAUCGCGGCGGCCCGCCGUUCCCCAGCUCCGAGCGGCCGAGGUCACCAUGAGUCCGGGGUUCCGCCGGGCCGUCGUCGGGCAGGGGGCGGCGGCCGCCGUGCAAUUGCUGGUCACCCUGAGCUUCCUCCCAAGUCUCGUCAAGACCCAGGUGACUGGAGUUCUGGAUGAUUGCUUGUGUGACAUUGACAGCAUUGAUAACUUCAACACCUACAAAAUCUUCCCCAAGUUAAAAAAGUUACAAGAGCGAGACUAUUUUCGUUAUUACAAGGUUAAUCUGAAGCGACCAUGUCCUUUCUGGGCAGAAGAUGGCCACUGCUCAAUAAAAGAUUGUCAUGUGGAGCCCUGUCCAGAGAGUAAAAUUCCAGUUGGAAUUAAAGCUGGGCGUUCAAAUAAGUAUUCACAGGCAGCAAACAAUACCAAGGAACUGGAAGACUGUGAGCAGGCCAACAAGCUGGGCGCCAUCAAUAGUACAUUAAGUAAUGAAAGCAAAGAAGCAUUCAUUGACUGGGCAAGAUAUGACGACUCACAGGAUCACUUUUGUGAACUUGAUGAUGAGCGCUCCCCUGCUGCGCAGUACGUGGACCUGCUGCUGAACCCAGAGCGGUACACUGGCUACAAGGGCUCCUCGGCAUGGAGGGUGUGGAACAGCAUCUACGAGGAGAACUGCUUCAAGCCUCGGUCUGUGUAUCGUCCUUUAAAUCCUCUGGCACCCAGCCGAGGGGAAGAUGAUGGAGAAUCAUUCUAUACCUGGCUAGAAGGUUUGUGUCUUGAGAAGAGAGUAUUCUAUAAGCUUAUAUCAGGACUACAUGCCAGCAUCAAUUUACAUCUGUGUGCAAAUUAUCUUCUGGAAGAAACCUGGGGUAAACCUAGUUGGGGACCUAACAUCAAAGAAUUCAAACGCCGCUUUGAUCCUGUGGAAACAAAGGGGGAGGGUCCAAGAAGGCUGAAGAAUCUCUACUUUUUAUACUUGAUUGAGCUUCGUGCUUUGUCAAAGGUGGCCCCUUAUUUUGAGCGCUCAAUUGUUGAUCUUUACACUGGCAACUUGGAAGAAGAUGCCGACACCAAGACUCUUCUUCUUAGCAUCUUUCAGGACACAAAGUCUUUUCCCAUGCACUUUGAUGAGAAAUCCAUGUUUGCAGGUGACAAGAAGGGGGCCAAGUCAUUAAAGGAGGAAUUCCGGUUACAUUUCAAGAACAUCUCCCGUAUCAUGGACUGUGUGGGAUGUGAUAAAUGCAGACUGUGGGGGAAAUUACAGACUCAGGGUUUAGGAACUGCCUUGAAGAUACUAUUCUCUGAAAAAGAAAUCCAGAAACUUCCGGAGAACAGUCCAUCUAAAGGCUUCCAGCUCACUCGGCAGGAAAUAGUUGCUCUUUUAAAUGCUUUUGGAAGGCUUUCUACAAGCAUAAGAGAAUUACAGAACUUUAAAGCGUUAUUACAGCACAGGAGGUAAUGAAGACUUUUCUAUGUCUCUGUAGACAUAACGGACUGUGUGAAGCCUUUUAGCUUUGGACCUUGAGCAGACAAAGUGUCUAAGACUUCAAGAAUUCUGAACUCUUACAGAGAAAAUUCAAAUGUUCACUUGAAUAUUUAUGAUCCUUAAUAGAAUAUCGACUAGAGAUAUUUAUAAAUGAAGUAUAUACUUUAAAAUUGUAAGUUAUACUAAUCCCAUGUUUGUUUCACAUUGGUUUUGUUUGUAUUGUAUUACCCUGCGUUCCUUGUUGUCAAACUUUAAAUGACUGUUUAUCCUGAGAAGACUAUUCAGUCUGUGAUAGAAGAACUAGGGAACCAGUGCGCCUAGGGCUGGUCUCAGUGACAGAAAGUUGACAGUGCUGUAGUGUUUCCACCUUGCUGACACUGUGUGUCCUUCUGUGAUACGGGGCUGUCACUAUAAUGAAUAGGCCUUUCAGUGACUAGUGAGAGAGGUUCUGGAUGAUUUCCCAGGACUCAACCACUUUAAGAUGUUUAAUUGCUGUUGCUGCUUUGGUUUUGGCCUAAAGGGACCUGCCUUGGUGGAAGUGGGUAAGUGCCCUCCCGUGCUUACUUGGCCAGAUGUCCUGUGUACACCAGGCCGGCUCAGAGUGGAGUGUCCGUUCCCUAAAGCCUACAGUUCCUCUUCUUUGGACUUCUUCAUUCCUUUCCUAAUUAUAAACAUUCUCAGUUUCUUUAUGAAAAGCCCUAUUUAUUUAAUGGAUUGUUUAUUCAUAAAAUUUGAAUGGGAUCCUGUGGGUUUAUAAUGCUAAUGCAUUAUACACAAAUUUUGCUGUUUUAAAGUGCAUUUUCAAUAUUUGAUUUUGACACAAUCUAUGCAAUCCUCUACCUCUUGGUGUGAUUCUGUCUGGUGAGAUGCUUUGGCAGGCGUGUCACUUCCCCCUUCUCCAUCUUCAGUUCAUCCCAGAUCAGCCGUCCAUGGUGUGACUUGAGACAGUAGAGGACUGGAAGGCCUAGACUGUCAUUUUUUAAACCUGGGAUUUAAAGUCUUUAAAUAUUUUAAAUUUUGGUUCUUCUAAAGGUGGCAGUGGAUAAUGAAAUUACUUGAAAGGUUUUUACCUGUGUGGAAGUAAUGCGAGUCCAAAGUCUCGCUUUUCCUUAGAGUCCGUCUUUCUGAAGUAAACAGUGCCACUGUGUAUAAGGAAAGACAGCUGUGCUGGUCUUCUUGGCACUGCCUUCAGCUGGACAUCUGGACACAGUUGACAGUAGGCCUCCCCGCAGUUGCAGAAGCCAAGGCUAGUCACCAGAAGGCUCGGACCAGGUACACGGUGUCAUGGAAAUUCCGUGGUACAAGCCAAGCACAGAAAUCCACAUGUCCUUUAUUUGAAGUAACAUCUACAGGUGCAACUUUGAGUUUUCGGAGAAUUCCAUAUAAUUCACUGUUGUAUCCACCAGAAUCUAGACCAUGAAUUAAAGUACAUGUU